rnacentral:rRNA from 1 species
GCUUACACAUGCAAGUCGAACGAUGAACCGCUUUCGGGCGGGGAUUAGUGGCGAACGGGUGAGUAACACGUGGGCAAUCUGCCCUGCACUCUGGGACAAGCCCUGGAAACGGGGUCUAAUACCGGAUAUGACUGUCCGCCGCAUGGUGGAUGGUGUAAAGCUCCGGCGGUGCAGGAUGAGCCCGCGGCCUAUCAGCUUGUUGGUGAGGUAGUGGCUCACCAAGGCGACGACGGGUAGCCGGCCUGAGAGGGCGACCGGCCACACUGGGACUGAGACACGGCCCAGACUCCUACGGGAGGCAGCAGUGGGGAAUAUUGCACAAUGGGCGAAAGCCUGAUGCAGCGACGCCGCGUGAGGGAUGACGGCCUUCGGGUUGUAAACCUCUUUCAGCAGGGAAGAAGCGAGAGUGACGGUACCUGCAGAAGAAGCGCCGGCUAACUACGUGCCAGCAGCCGCGGUAAUACGUAGGGCGCAAGCGUUGUCCGGAAUUAUUGGGCGUAAAGAGCUCGUAGGCGGCUUGUCACGUCGGUUGUGAAAGCCCGGGGCUUAACCCCGGGUCUGCAGUCGAUACGGGCAGGCUAGAGUUCGGUAGGGGAGAUCGGAAUUCCUGGUGUAGCGGUGAAAUGCGCAGAUAUCAGGAGGAACACCGGUGGCGAAGGCGGAUCUCUGGGCCGAUACUGACGCUGAGGAGCGAAAGCGUGGGGAGCGAACAGGAUUAGAUACCCUGGUAGUCCACGCCGUAAACGGUGGGCACUAGGUGUGGGCAACAUUCCACGUUGUCCGUGCCGCAGCUAACGCAUUAAGUG